GAACCUCAAAGGACGACAAGAGGGAUGACAAGAGGGAGGUCCCGACGGUCUAUGGUAAAGGGCCCCUGAAAAAGUAUCCCCCCGGUAAAGGGCCCAUGAAUCAGGAAGAGGGAGAUCUUGUCACAGGCAUUCUUGCUAUUCCGUUUGUCUUGGCUCCAGUUCUUUUUGUUCCUGCUCUGCUAUAUUUGGCUCAGGCAUCAUCUGAUGAAAUGUUUUUGGAUGUCUUGAAUCAGUUUUAUCCAAAGAAUGUAAGAAGGCGGGAAAGAGAAAAGCAAGAGGCUGCUGAACUGGCCGCGAAGGAGGAAGCGAAGGAAGCAGCAAGAGCAGCAAAGGCAAAGGC
rnacentral:ribozyme from 10 species